rnacentral:rRNA from 1 species
AGGACGAACGCUGGCGGCGUGCUUAACACAUGCAAGUCGAGCGGAAAGGCCCUUCGGGGUACUCGAGCGGCGAACGGGUGAGUAACACGUGAGCAACCUGCCCCUAGCUCUGGGAUAGCUCCGGGAAACCGGGGUUAAUACCAGAUACGACCACUUUAGACAUCUUUUGUGGUGGAAAGGAUUCCGGCUAGGGAUGGGCUCGCGGCCUAUCAGCUUGUUGGUGAGGUAACGGCCCACCAAGGCGACGACGGGUA